rnacentral:rRNA from 1 species
UAUCGACGUGAGGCGCGAAACUAGAGGAUCCAACAGGUUAGAUACCUGGUAGUCCAGGCACUAAACGAUGGAUGCUUGGUGUGACCCGUACCCUAUCCGGUUGUACCGAAGCUAACGCGAUAAGCAUCCCCGCCUGGGGAGUACGGUCGCAAGGCUAAACUCAAAGGAAUUGACGGGGGCCCGCACAAGCGGUGGAGCAUGUGGUUCAAUUCGACGCAACGCGAAGUACCUUACCUGGGCUCGAAGCACAGUGGACCGGGGUAGAAAUAUCCCUUUUCGCAAGAACUGCUGUGGAGGUGCAGCAUGGCUGUAGUCAGCUCGUGUCGUGAGAUGUUGGGUUAAGUCCCGCAACGAGCGCAACCCUUAUCAUUAGUGUCCAGCGGGUCAAGCCGGGCACUCUAGCGAAACCGCCUCGGAUAACGGGGAGGAGGGGGGGGAUGAGGUCAAGUCCUCAUGGCCUUUAUGUCCAGGGCUACACACGUGCUACAAUGGUCGGUACAAACCGUCGCAAACCCGCGAGGGGGAGCUAAUCGGAAAAAGCCGACCUCAGUUCGGAUUGGAGUCUGCAACUCGACUCCAUGAAGCUGGAAUCGCUAGUAAUCGCAGAUCAGCACGCUGCGGUGAAUACGUUCCCGGGCCUUGUACACACCGCCCGUCACAUCACGAAAGUGGACUGCACUAGAAGCCGGUGCGCUAACCCGCAAGGGGAGCAGCCGUCCAAGGUAUGGUUCAUGAUUGGGGUGAAGUCGUAACAAGGUAACC